CCUCCUCCACCGCCGCCAGCACCGGGGCUGCAGCCCGUGCUGCUGCUGCUGCUGCUGCUGCUACUGGCGAGAACCUUGCCAGCUGCAGCCGCGGAGGUAUGUGAAGACUUAUGCUCCGGGGUGGGGGGAGCUAUAGACAUAAAUCGGAUUGUCCCCCCCAAUACUUCUGCUGGUGUUUCCUCCACUCUCACGCGAGACAAAAUAAAUCGGAGUCAGUUUCACGAUCCCUGAGAUUCUGAGUUCAUUUACUCCAGAUUUAUACAGGUGUAGCCUUAUUGACUUCAGUGAUAUCUCAGUAUCACUGCGAGUAGACUCAGGCCAAUAGCUCCGGGACUAGUUGCGCUGAACACUAUAGAACGCUAUUUUGUGCCACUGGAGCGCAACGCCACACCAUCCGAGCAUAUUUCCUCAUCAGCUAGAUAAUUCACCAGUAGUGGAGACUGUGAGAGCAUCUUUCAGCGGUAGCAGAUUUACACAUCAAGAGAAACCAUGUUUCCCCUUCCCGCUCUGAAGUUUGCAAAGCCACUACAGGAUGCAGUUAACUAUGCAUCCCCGUAAAUGCCCAAGUGAUAAAAAAGCUACAUUUUGUUUUUCAGCAUUGAGAGUGCAGCUUUUGCAAACCAAUGCACUAUAUAAAGUAGA